GAUGAACGCUGGCGGCGUGCCUAAUACAUGCAAGUCGAGCGAACGGACGAGAAGCUUGCUUCUCUGAUGUUAGCGGCGGACGGGUGAGUAACACGUGGAUAACCUACCUAUAAGACUGGGAUAACUUCGGGAAACCGGAGCUAAUACCGGAUAAUAUUUUGAACCGCAUGGUUCAAAAGUGAAAGACGGUCUUGCUGUCACUUAUAGAUGGAUCCGCGCUGCAUUAGCUAGUUGGUAAGGUAACGGCUUACCAAGGCAACGAUGCAUAGCCGACCUGAGAGGGUGAUCGGCCACACUGGAACUGAGACACGGUCCAGACUCCUACGGGAGGCAGCAGUAGGGAAUCUUCCGCAAUGGGCGAAAGCCUGACGGAGCAACGCCGCGUGAGUGAUGAAGGUCUUCGGAUCGUAAAGCUCUGUUAUUAGGGAAGAACAUAUGUGUAAGUAACUGUGCACAUCUUGACGGUACCUAAUCAGAAAGCCACGGCUAACUACGUGCCAGCAGCCGCGGUAAUACGUAGGUGGCAAGCGUUAUCCGGAAUUAUUGGGCGUAAAGCGCGCGUAGGCGGUUUUUUAAGUCUGAUGUGAAAGCCCACGGCUCAACCGUGGAGGGUCAUUGGAAACUGGAAAACUUGAGUGCAGAAGAGGAAAGUGGAAUUCCAUGUGUAGCGGUGAAAUGCGCAGAGAUAUGGAGGAACACCAGUGGCGAAGGCGACUUUCUGGUCUGUAACUGACGCUGAUGUGCGAAAGCGUGGGGAUCAAACAGGAUUAGAUACCCUGGUAGUCCACGCCGUAAACGAUGAGUGCUAAGUGUUAGGGGGUUUCCGCCCCUUAGUGCUGCAGCUAACGCAUUAAGCACUCCGCCUGGGGAGUACGACCGCAAGGUUGAAACUCAAAGGAAUUGACGGGGACCCGCACAAGCGGUGGAGCACGUGGUUUAAUUCGAAGCAACGCGAAGAACCUUACCAAAUCUUGACAUCCUUUGACAACUCUAGAGAUAGAGCUUUCCCCUUCGGGGGACAAAGUGACAGGUGGUGCAUGGUUGUCGUCAGCUCGUGUCGUGAGAUGUUGGGUUAAGUCCCGCAACGAGCGCAACCCUUAAGCUUAGUUGCCAUCAUUAAGUUGGGCACUCUAAGUUGACUGCCGGUGACAAACCGGAGGAAGGUGGGGAUGACGUCAAAUCAUCAUGCCCCUUAUGAUUUGGGCUACACACGUGCUACAAUGGACAAUACAAAGGGCAGCGAAACCGCGAGGUCAAGCAAAUCCCAUAAAGUUGUUCUCAGUUCGGAUUGUAGUCUGCAACUCGACUACAUGAAGCUGGAAUCGCUAGUAAUCGUAGAUCAGCAUGCUACGGUGAAUACGUUCCCGGGUCU
rnacentral:rRNA from 1 species